AGUUUCUUUUUUUUCUUCUCUCUGCAGAAACAAAGAAUGGAAGACCCUGAAAGGCUUACAUCAUCUAACAGUCAAACAACCACGAUUAGCUCCGACUCUAUCCAUUCACCCGAAUUCGAAUUUUGGAUGGUCCGAAACCCAUCUUUUCCUCAACCCAAUCAGCUCUCUGCCGAUGAGCUCUUCUCCCAUGGCGUCCUACUCCCAUUAGACCUCCUUCAAAAUGAAACAAAUGUUAUUUCGCCUGAACCAUCCGGGUCGGGCCGACCCGAAACUGAAUCUGGGGUUGAGCCUUCUGCUGCGAUAGUCAACUCGUCCGGCGGAGGAGCUUCUUUCACCUCCUCGAAGCGAUGGAAGGAUAUAUUCAAGAAAACUGAGAAGAAAGAUAGUAAUGAGGAGAAUUG
rnacentral:misc_RNA from 1 species